GCUAGGCAUGGCGGGGGGCCUUACACAUGCAAGUCGAGCGGAUGACGGGAGCUUGCUCCUUGAUUCAGCGGCGGACGGGUGAGAAAUGGCUAGGAAUCUGCCUGGUAGUGGGGGACAACGUUUCGAAAGGAACGCUAAUACCGCAUACGUCCUACGGGAGAAAGCAGGGGACCUUCGGGCCUUGCGCAUCAGAUGAGCCUAGGUCGGAUUAGCUAGUUGGUGGGGUAAUGGCUCGACCAAGGCGACGAUCCGUAACUGGUCUGAGAGGAUGAUCAGUCACACUGGAACUGAGACACGGUCCAGACUCCUACGGGAGGCAGCAGUGGGGAAUAUUGGACAAUGGGCGAAAGCCUGAUCCAGCCAUGCCGCGUGUGUGAAGAAGGUCUUCGGAUUGUAAAGCACUUUAAUUGGGAGGAAGGGCAGUAAGCUAAUACCUUGCUGUUUUGACGUUACCGACCAGAAUAAGCACCGGCUAACUCUGUGCCAGCAGCCGCGGUAAUACAGAGGGUGCAAGCGUUAAUCGGAAUUACUGGGCGUAAAGCGCGCGUAGGUGGUUCGUUAAGUUGGAUGUGAAAGCCCCGGGCUCAACCUGGGAACUGCAUCCAAAACUGGCGAGCUAGAGUACGGUAGAGGGUGGUGGAAUUUCCUGUGUAGCGGUGAAAUGCAGUAGAUAUAGGAAGGAACACCAGUGGCGAAGGCGACCACCUGGACUGAUACUGACACUGAGGCGAAAGCGUGGGGAGCAAACAGGAUUAGAUACCCUGGUAGUCCACCCGUAAACGAUGUCAACUAGCCGUUGGAAUCCUUGAGAUUUUAGUGGCGCAGCUAACGCAUUAAGUUGACCGCCUGGGGAGUACGGCCGCAAGGUUAAAACUCAAAUGAAUUGACGGGGGCCCGCACAAGCGUUGUGGAGCAUGUGGUUUAAUUCGCGAAGCAACGCGAAGAACCUUACCAGGCCUUGACAUGCAGAGAACUUUCCAGAGAUGGAUUGGUGCCUUCGGGACUCUGACACAGUGCUGCAUGGCUGUCGUCAGCUCGGUCGUGAGAAUGUUGGGUUAAGUCCCGU
rnacentral:rRNA from 1 species